UUCUGCAAAUGGUGCUGCACCAGUUGAGUAGUCCUCGACUUACAACCGGUUGGGGGUCGCGGCAUUAAAAAGGUUGAGAACCACUGGUCUAAAAUAAGUUUCUGUUUUUAAAAUUGGAUUAACAAAACAUGCAAUGAUAGGAGUAUUUUGAGUCACGUGAAUAGCCUCAUAGCUUUUUUUUUUUUAAAGCGAAAUUAAGAAAAUGGAUGCUUUUGAGUGGGGAAAGAAUCUUGAAUCUGUGUUUUGAAGGAAAAAAAAAAAGCUAGGUAAUUAUGCUAGGUAUUUCCCACCCAAAAGUUGCUGAAGAAUCAUGCAGCUGGUGAAGUUGUACAGCCUGUACAGCAAGAUUCCUAUUAUGAUAGUCUUUCUGGUUUUAGAGGACUAUUCCGCAUUCUUAGAUAUAUGAAAAUUGGCUUGUGGGUUUUGAUAAACAUUUUCUAUCAUUUGCUCCUCAAAUGCGGAUUUAGGAAGGGGGAGACUAUAUACAAGUGUACAUGCUGAUGCAUUUUGAGGUCCUACUUGUGCAGACAGAUCUGACAAUUCUUGAGAAACUCAGAUAUCCACAGGGCAUUUAUUAUUGGAAAAUUGCUCAAUGCACGCACAUAAGAACUGCUACAUGCAUGGCAUCAUUAUCCUUCACAGAAUAAGAAAAGAGGAGACCUUGGAGAAGCUUAUACACUACUCUAUCACACUGUGACCAGAGAUACUACAUUUCAAAAACAAAAUUAAAGAGUUCAAAAUAUCUUAAGAUGCCUGCAAGUAUUUUCUGCAGAGAUGAACAUAAAUUUGUCUCAUUACACACUCAUUUAUUUUUCUCUUGGGACACUGGAGGGAGGUCAAGUCGAAUAUGAGAAAGCAAACAAAAAAGGGGGUAAAACUAUCAGUCUGUUGUUCGACUGUCAUUUUUACUUUAAGAACAGCCAAUAAACACUAAACAAAGCUUGCCCCUCUCGCUGUUCUUGAUAAAUCCUCCCAUAAAGAAAUACUGAAUGACUCCUAUUCCUCUUCAAGAAGGAGAAAAAAACAUCAUUCAAGUUAACCCCCAGCAUCACCAUCACUUUACUGCACAAAAUGUGUGGAGAAUUUGGAAAGGACACCUAUGCACAAUCCAGAUUUAACUUUAGAGAUGCUUUCCCUAAAUGUGAGCCCUUCUGCUGUACAUUACCUGUACUAGGAUUUCAAUUUAUGCAGGUUUAUGACUAUAAUUACACGUUUGACUGAUUGAUCAAUUUCUGGAGCUGCCUUCCCUGUCAAUAUAGCUCACAGAAAGUUCCUGUAGCACUUUUGAGAAAGUAGCUGAACUAAAAGAAAUUAGAUCUACCAAAAUUUUAAAGCAUCUCUCACAAGAUGGUAAUAUGUAAAACAGGGACAGUGGUUUACCAGAAAAAAACAGUCAUAGAUACACAGCAUUCUGUGAAAACCUAAUGGAAGAACAGCAUCUGUAACACCAAGAGAAAAAUAUCAAGAGCAUUAUUCAGGAAUUAACAGAGGUAAAUUAAUAUGCCAUAAGUCUGCCUAGGUAAGUGGGUGUGUUCGCUUUAUAAUAUUUUUCCCACACUUAAGAAUGAUGAGAAUUAUUCAUUCAAUGAGUUUUAAUAAAUGGGAAUUAUACUCCUGUACCUCUAUCAAAUUGCCUAGAAAUAUCAUGUCAGCAGAUCUAGUGUGGAUAAUUCCAUGGGAGAUAUUUUGUACACUUAGCAGAUCUAGGAAGUAGUUGAUACAAUCUAGGCUACAAUUUUUUUUAGCAGCAGCCAAAGGGAAACAUGAAAGAAUAUAUUCAUUAACAAUCACUGUAUUCCAUAAGUAACCUUUGAGAGGAAUUUUAAUGUAGACGGAGAACCAGAAAUCUAUUUUUGUUAGUCUGCAUUAGACAGGAGGCAUAUGGGUGGCUUAAUUAGGAUUGUUAGGAAAAGAAAAUCCAACUGGAACUUGGAAAAUGGUUGACCUAUUGUAAAAGUCAAUUUGGAUUGGUCAAAAGGUAAAGUCAAUGCUCUAUUAGCAGUUAGACAGCUCAUGUAAUUGGUGAGAUUUUUAAACUAUGAAAAAAUCUGUCAGACAAUUGGAAUAUAAGCAUUUGAAUUGGUUGUUCUUGAAGGGAGCACAGGAAACUUUCUAGUUUGAGGGAAAUUUGAUGGGAAAAGAUCGUGAGGCCAAAGCUGAAAACAAAAGAAGCUCAUGAGGGAUUUAUUAGAGGUUAAAUGUUCAAAGAAAAAGAUAAUGAACUUGGGACAGUUCUGUUAAGUUACAAGUAUAAUCAAGUAUAUUCAGUAAAAAUUAACUACCUUAACUUUGAGGAAAAUGUUUUAUCCCCAUGGUAAACAAGGGGACAGAUAAUAGACAGGUGACAGAUAGACAAAUAUAUAGACAGACAAUCAACCAACCAGAAAAAUUCUCUUGCCAAUGCAAUUAAAGCUUGGUAAAACUGAGGGUUUUUUUUUUUUGGGAGAGCAGCUACAUAUGAUUGAAAGAAAAUUAUCCACUGAACUAGGUUUCAAAGGUUGUUGUUCAUAGCGAGGAAACCUAUUUGGAGUCUUCCAGAUACAGGCAAGCAGUUUCCCGGUAAGAAAGAUGGACAGCCUAUAAAAAAAAUGAUGCUUGCAAGAUAUUUGACAAUCCAGUGCCAUGACCUGUCGAAAUAAACUUUAAUUAUGAAGAUUCUUUUCACAUAACCCACACUCAGACUAAUGUUGUCAUCUAUGAAAAGAGAGUGAGUGAAUAAACACAGUUUAUGGGAAACUUCUGGGUGACGCAUGGCCCCUCCCUUGUCUUCCUCACAAUCUGGGCCAAGCUGGAGGGCCUGAGGGGAGCUCAGCUCCAAAACACCUGCCUUUUAUCCCUGGAAGAAAGUGCAGACAGCUGAUCUUGUACUCGGUCUACCAGUAGUAGGGACUCUGGCAGUAGAAGCCAACUGCUUUGGACCCAGCCUUUAAAGGUGCUCCUCCCUGCAGGGCAAGGAAGAACUACAAGGCCUGUUUCAAGGAACUAAGAAAGUUGCUUCAAAGCCCUGAUGCCUCAUUCCUGCGAGGCAGGGCUUGGCUCCUGCCCCAAUUUAAAUGACGUUCAGCCCAUGGGAGAGAGUCUAGGCCAGAAUCCACCCCUUGGGCCUGGCUGUUUCUCACUCUUGAUUGAAGUAAAGGUUGCAAGCUUUAUUCAGCAAACCGAUCAGUUAGGAUUGCAUAUAUACACAGAUAAUCCUAUGCACACAUCCUACACAGUAGGUCAUGCCAAACUCCCUAAGAUUGAUUUCUGAGUAAACACAUUUGAUGUGUUAUGAUUAAAACUGCCAUAUAUUUUCCAGAGAUUAAACCUUGCUGAAUUCAAACAAGCUUCUUCUCUGGUGUAAACCCUGAACAGAACUGGGUUGCCUGGCUUUGGUGGUGGGAGUUAUAAAUCUUAUUCAUUUUGGAGAUUAUAUUGGCUAGAGCAUGUUGCAAUUAGACUAGAAUUAAAGCACACACAGGUGCCUUAUAAGGAAAAAAAAGAUUACUAGCUGGUUAAACUGCAGCUUCUCAUACAUCUUCAUUAUCUAAGAAGGGCAAAGUUAUGAAAGCUAACUAGCUUUAGCUAAUUAAACAUAUUGUGGUUAGCUAUCAGUUUCCUGUUGCUUGUCUCCCAAAUAAUUGGAAUUGCAUCCUAUCAGGCAUUUUUCUUUUUUUAUUAAGGCAUAGAGAUUCAAAGCAGCAGAAAAGAAUUCAGCACAGAGAGAUCCAUGAUAGGCAAGGAUUUUUAGUGGUUCAGUUUGAAGAGCAGCAGCCAUUUCAUAAGAUUGUAGAUCUUUAGAGAGGAAACUGGGAAGAUAACAGGUCAUUUCAUUGAAUGCUAAGGUGAUAGCUCAUAUGGCUCUUUAACUAUUUUUAUUCCAGAUGGAUGCUGAUAGCUGUAUUAUAACUAUGGCAGAAUUUGACUUUUUUUUUCUCUUCCCUCAUCAUCCCAUUUUUCUUUUGUGUUAGGCCUUCUACCUGUAAGCCUAGGCAAGUAAGAAGAGACUGCUUUGCAUGUGGAAAUAUUUUUACUUGUUCUUUAGCUGGAAAAUGCCAUAAGUUAACAGAUGACCCAAAAAACGUAUUAAGAGAGAGCAAUCUAAUAAAACCUGUGCUGAACACCUAGAAGUUUGAAAGCAUGCAAAUGUGAGUAGAUUAAUGGGUACCACUUCGAUGGGAAGGUAACAGUGUUCCAUGCACUUUUGGCAUAUAGCCAUGCGUAUCACAUGAUCACAGAAACUGUCUUCGGACAAUGCUAGCUCCCUCAGCUAUGAAACAGAGACGAGCACUGUGCCAUAGGGUUGGACACAACUGGACAGGGAAACUUUUACCUUUUAAAAAAAAAUUACAUUUCAAAUGGAAAUGGGAAAGGAGGGAACAAUGCACAAAGAUCAGCUACUCAAAGCAAUGAUCAGAAGACUGUGAACUGCAAAUACAAGGAAGAAGGAACAAGAGGUUGCAAUCCUCUGAACGGUUAUUCUCGGCACAUUCCACUGAACACAUUAGAAUUUAUUUUCAAAGAAAUGUGUAGAAGACUGCUAAUGCCUGUGCCACAGUCUGAAUUAUUACAAAUGCCAAGUGUGACUGACUCAUCCAUAUGUCUCUCACUUAGUUUCAUUCUAACCAAACUGGUUUUGCAGACAAAAGGGGCAACUCCUUAUUUUGAAGAUCCAUGUGACUGAGUGUGUCACGAGAAAAAACAUCCUUACAGCUGUAAGUGACCUCAUAAUCUAAAGGAGUACAUUGAUAUAAUCAAUGUAUUAAUUGUAAUAAUUGAGCUGCUUUCCUCCAUUUUUACUUUUAAGAGAGUCCUACAUGAUUCUAAAUAAUUCUAUAACACAGAGGAGAAGCCUGAAACUGUUCCCAGCAUCCUAUCUGUUUCUCUGGGGACUGCACUGCUGAAAUCUAUUCACAAAAUGGCCACAUUUUGACAGCACAUUUUCUCUCUCUCUUUGGUGCCAGGGUCAGGGCUGGAAUGAAAACAGAAAGCCUCUGAGAAGUUACAUUGCUUCAGACCCUCCAUUUAAUAAAAACUCCCAAACUGUGCCACAUUGAUCAGCAAAAUAACUAAAUUUUAUCAGUACAAUUUUUGAGUUAAAGUCAAAUACAAAUGAAAAUUGGAGCAGAGGUCCUCUGAGAGAUGAAUUGUUCUAAUUUCUACCUUUUAAGUGUUCACAAUGGUGAAAAGAAAAUGUUAGGCCCGCUUUAUUUGAUGAUGUCAGCACAUCACUGGAGGUCUAAUCCAGCCUGCCAACUAGUCAGAAUUUGCAGCUUUUUGACAGAGAGGGAGUUACCCACCCUGUGCCACAGGUGGGUUGGAGUUGUAUCUAUAUGUACAGGUAGUUCUCAACUUACAACUGUUUGUUUAGUGACUGAAAUUACAACAGCACUGAAAAAAGCGACUUAUGAUUUGUCACACAUGUGACUAUUGUAGCAUCCCCAUGGUCACAUGAUCAAAUUCCGACACUUGACAACAAACUCAUAUUAAUGAUGGUUGGAGUGUCCCGGGCUCAUGGGAUCACCUUUGCAACCUUCUGACAAGCAAAGCCAGUGGGGAAGACAAAUUCACUUAACAAUUGUGUUACUAACUUAACUUAUGGAGUGAUUCACUUAACUACUGUAGGAAGAAAGGUCAUAAAAUGGGGGACAACUCAAUUAACAAAUGUCUCAUUUAGCAACAUAAAUUUUGGGCUCAAUUGUGGUCGUAGGUUGAGGACUGCCUGUAUAGCAUUAUAAUAGUUGGUUGUGGAUGACCAUUGUGCCACAGGAUGGUACUUGAAUUCUUCUAAUCAGGACCAGGAGCAAUACUGGGGAGCAGUUGCCAAAAUCCUAAACUCAAUAGCCCAGGAAAGAUGCCAUUUGGCCAAUCCACUGGGCCAUGACAUGUCCUUUGGUUCCUCUGAAUGUACCUCUAAGGAUUCGACAUUGCGUUGAUAAGAAAAAAUGUAGGAAAUUAUAAGAUUCAAAAUCCACCCAGUAGUAACAGAUAAAGCAAAAUAAGAUCUGUCAUUGCAGGUUCUUCCAACCAUUUUUUAGGUGACUCCUCAAUCAGCUUUAUAGAGAAUACAAAUAAUCCACUAAAGCCAUUUGUCUGGAUGAUGCAUUUGUCCCUAAGACAGCCAAGUCAUCUGUAUCAGAUCAAUGAUACCGGCCAUGAAGAUAUGAAAGUCUGAGCAUUUUCUAGCCUCUUAGCAGCUCCCAUUUGCUUUCUGGAUUUCCAUGCCAUUCUGAAAAAUCUUUCUACACAAGGUUGUGCCUGCAAGGACAAUUCAGCCCCAUUGCUAGUUGGUAAUACAAGUCAGAUCCAUUUUAUUUCAUUUUUAAGCUUACAGUGGUAGAUCAACUAUUGGGAAGGAGGGAUUAAAAAUAAGGGGUUUUUCCAUAUCGGGCUACAGUGCCUCUUAAACAGGAACUCCUUCCCUUUCUUCCUGCUCUCUCCCGCACAGCCAGACUGUUGGGUCUCUGUGCCAACCCAAGAUAAGUUUCUUCUGGGCUGCAAGGAAUAAGCAAACUGUGUUGCACUAACUCAGAAUCCUUGGUCUCUUCUUUCCCUAUUUCAGGUUUUCCCAACUGUGGCAACUUUCAGGCAUGUGGACUUCAACUCCCAGAAUUCACCAGCCAGCCAAUCUAUUGCCUAACUUUGUCCAAUCUGCUAUACUUUGUCCAAUCUGAAGUAACUGGUUUAAGACUACCAUCACAAUCAAGAGAGAAACAAUCAAAAUUGCUUUUCUCAACUUGGUGCUGGCUAUAUCACUGAAGGAUAGCAUCUUGGAGUAAGCUGCCCUAUGGACUGUCAUGUAUCUUUCCUGAUUUGUCUUUAUUCUCAGUAAGUCGUUUGACCUUCCUUUCUAAUUAAAUUCAUAUUAUAUCUGU